GGGAGCUAAUUGUCACAGCUGUGUCUUGUCGACUAAUUACGCUCGCCCCUUUAUAAGCAGCAGCGUGCUGGACCUGACGGCUACCACACACGCGCGGGUAGCAGCCAGCCAGCCAGCCAGCCAGCCAGCCAGCCAGCCAGCCAGCCAGCCAGCCAGCCAGCCAGCCAGCCACAUGAAUGGUGUUAAGAAGACGAUCUCGACCAGCAUCGUGCAGAGGCGAGGAGGCGGGUGCAAGAAUGUGGAAGGGAGGGAUGACAGCAGGACGCAGAGAGGAGGAAUGGAGGAAGAGGAGCGGAGAGGAAGAAAACUUCAGUUAUUGUCAUUGACUCGCAGCGACAGAUGGAGAUGUUUGAACCGGAAACAGCUAGCCAAGAGGCUAACGGCCCUCUUCUGACUAAUGACUCCCCACCUCCCCCACCUGUAACCUCUGCUGUGU